GAUGAACGCUGGCGGCGUGCCUAAUACAUGCAAGUCGAGCGAACAGACGAGGAGCUUGCUCCUCUGACAUUAGCGGCGGACGGGUGAGUAACACGUGGAUAACCUACCUAUAAGACUGGGAUAACUUCGGGAAACCGGAGCUAAUACCGGAUAAUAUAUUGAACCGCAUGGUUCAAUAGUGAAAGACGGUUUUGCUGUCACUUAUAGAUGGAUCCGCGCCGCAUUAGCUAGUUGGUAAGGUAACGGCUUACCAAGGCAACGAUGCGUAGCCGACCUGAGAGGGUGAUCGGCCACACUGGAACUGAGACACGGUCCAGACGCCUACGGGAGGCAGCAGUAGGGAAUCUUCCGCAAUGGGCGAAAGCCUGACGGAGCAACGCCGCGUGAGUGAUGAAGGUCUUCGGAUCGUAAAACUCUGUUAUUAGGGAAGAACAAAUGUGUAAGUAACUAUGCACGUCUUGACGGUACCUAAUCAGAAAGCCACGGCUAACUACGUG
rnacentral:rRNA from 1 species